GAUGAAGAACGUAGCGAAAUGCGAUAAGUAAUGUGAAUUGCAGAAUUCAGUGAAUCAUCGAAUCUUUGAACGCACAUUGCGCCCAUUAGUAUUCUAGUGGGCAUGCCUGUUCGAGCGUCAUUAAUUCCACUUAAGCCCUGCUUAGUGUUGGGAAUCUACUCUAGUGGUGCUACCCUGGAGCUACCCCUGAAAGGGGGCUGGCCCGGUAGCUACCCUGUAGUUCCUCAAAGAUAGAGCGCGGAGUUGCGUGGUCCUCUGAGCUUAGUAACUAUACACCUAGCUUUUGAGUGUCCCGCGGCGCCUGCCGUUUAAACCCCAUCUUUUAAUGGUUGACCUCGAAUCAGGUAGGAAUACCCGCUGAACUUAAGCAUAUCAAUCAGCGGAGGA
rnacentral:misc_RNA from 1 species